rnacentral:rRNA from 1 species
UUGAACGCUGGCGGCAUGCCUUACACAUGCAAGUCGAACGGUAACAGGUCUUCGGAUGCUGACGAGUGGCGAACGGGUGAGUAAUACAUCGGAACGUGCCCGAUCGUGGGGGAUAACGCAGCGAAAGCUGUGCUAAUACCGCAUACGAUCUACGGAUGAAAGCGGGGGAUCGCAAGACCUCGCGCGGACGGAGCGGCCGAUGGCAGAUUAGGUAGUUGGUGGGAUAAAAGCUUACCAAGCCGACGAUCUGUAGCUGGUCUGAGAGGACGACCAGCCAAACUGGGACUGAGACACGGCCCAGACUCCUACGGGAGGCAGCAGUGGGGAAUUUUGGACAAUGGGCGAAAGCCUGAUCCAGCCAUGCCGCGUGCAGGAUGAAGGCCUUCGGGUUGUAAACUGCUUUUGUACGGAACGAAAAAGUCUUCUCUAAUACUAGCUACUAAUGACGGUACCUGAAGAAGAAGCACCGGCUAACUACGU